rnacentral:rRNA from 1 species
AUACGUAGGUGGCGAGCGUUAUCCGGAAUUACUGGGUGUAAAGGGAGCGCAGACGGCUAAGCAAGUCUGAUGUGAAAGUCAUGGGCUCAACCCAUGGAUUGCAUUGGAAACUGCGAAGCUGGAGUGUCGGAGGGGUAAGCGGAAUUCCUGGUGUAGCGGUGAAAUGCGUAGAUAUCAGGAGGAACACCGGUGGCGAAGGCGGCUUACUGGACGAUCACUGACGUUGAGGCUCGAAAGCGUGGGGAGCAAACAGGAUUAGAUACCCUGGUAGUCCACGCGGUAAACGAUGACUACUAGGUGUCGGGGGGCGAAGCUCUUCGGUGCCGAAAGCAAACGCAGUAAGUAUUCCACCUGGGGAGUACGUUCGCAAGAAUGAAACUCAAAUGAAUUGGCGGGG